rnacentral:rRNA from 1 species
GAUGAACGCUGGCGGCGUGCCUAAUACAUGCAAGUCGAGCGAACAGACGAGGAGCUUGCUCCUCUGACGUUAGCGGCGGACGGGUGAGUAACACGUGGAUAACCUACCUAUAAGACUGGGAUAACUUCGGGAAACCGGAGCUAAUACCGGAUAAUAUAUUGAACCGCAUGGUUCAAUAGUGAAAGACGGUUUUGCUGUCACUGAUAGAUGGAUCCGCGCCGCAUUAGCUAGUUGGUAAGGUAACGGCUUACCAAGGCAACGAUGCGUAGCCGACCUGAGAGGGUGAUCGGCCACACUGGAACUGAGACACGGUCCAGACUCCUACGGGAGGCAGCAGUAGGGAAUCUUCCACAAUGGGCGAAAGCCUGACGGAGCAACGCCGCGUGAGUGAUGAAGGUCUUCGGAUCGUAAAACUCUGUUAUUAGGGAAGAACAAAUGUGUAAGUAACUAUGCACGUCUUGACGGUACCUAAUCAGAAAGCCCCGGCUAACUACGUG